rnacentral:misc_RNA from 1 species
GUAACAAGGUUUCCGUAGGUGUAACCUGCGGAAGGAUCAUUACCGAGUGUAGGGUUCCUAGCGAGCCCAACCUCCCACCCGUGUUUACUGUACCUUAGUUGCUUCGGCGGGCCCGCCAUUCAUGGCCGCCGGGGGCUCUCAGCCCCGGGCCCGCGCCCGCCGGAGACACCACGAACUCUGUCUGAUCUAGUGAAGUCUGAGUUGAUUGUAUCGCAAUCAGUUAAAACUUUCAACAAUGGAUCUCUUGGUUCCGGCAUCGAUGAAGAACGCAGCGAAAUGCGAUAACUAGUGUGAAUUGCAGAAUUCCGUGAAUCAUCGAGUCUUUGAACGCACAUUGCGCCCCCUGGUAUUCCGGGGGGCAUGCCUGUCCGAGCGUCAUUGCUGCCCAUCAAGCACGGCUUGUGUGUUGGGUCGUCGUCCCCUCUCCGGGGGGGACGGGCCCCAAAGGCAGCGGCGGCACCGCGUCCGAUCCUCGAGCGUAUGGGGCUUUGUCACCCGCUCUGUAGGCCCGGCCGGCGCUUGCCGAACGCAAAUCAAUCUUUUUCCAGGUUGACCUCGGAUCAGGUAGGGAUACCCGCUGAACCUAAGCAUAUCA